UACGUAGGCAGCGAGCGUUGUUCGGAAUUACUGGGCGUAAAGAGUGUGUAGGCGGUGCUCUAAGUUCGGUGUGAAAUCUCCUGGCUCAACUGGGAGGGUGCGCCGGAAACUGGAGUGCUUGAGCGUGGGAGAGGAAAGCGGAAUUCCUGGUGUAGCGGUGAAAUGCGUAGAUAUCAGGAGGAACACCUGUGGUGUAGACGGCUUUCUGGACCAUAGCUGACGCUGAGACACGAAAGCGUGGGUAGCAAACGGG
rnacentral:rRNA from 1 species